AGCAUUCGAGAACAAGUGAUCAACAUGUAGGCCUCCCAAAAGGUAACGGAGGCGUGCAAAAGUUUCCUAGGGCCAGACAGACAUUGGUUCUCGAGUGCAAAUGUAGAAGGGAGCUUGACUGCAAGACUCACCCGUUGAGCAGAGACGAAAGUGGGCCUUAAUGAUUCGACGGUGCCGAGUGGAAGGGUCGUCGCUCAACGGAUAAAAGUUAC
rnacentral:ncRNA from 1 species